rnacentral:rRNA from 1 species
AGUGAACGCUGGCGGCAGGCCUAACACAUGCAAGUCGAGCGGCAGCGGGCUGUAGCAAUACAGUGCCGGCGAGCGGCGGACGGGUGAGGAAUACAUCGGAAUCUACCUUGUCGUGGGGGAUAACGUAGGGAAACUUACGCUAAUACCGCAUACGAACUACGGUUGAAAGCGGAGGACCGCAAGGCUUCGCGCGAUUGGAUGAGCCGAUGUCGGAUUAGCUAGUUGGCGGGGUAAUGGCCCACCAAGGCGACGAUCCGUAGCUGGUCUGAGAGGAUGAUCAGCCACACUGGAACUGAGACACGGUCCAGACUCCUACGGGAGGCAGCAGUGGGGAAUAUUGGACAAUGGGCGAAAGCCUGAUCCAGCCAUGCCGCGUGUGUGAAGAAGGCCUUCGGGUUGGU